UGACAGGGUGUGUGUGUCUGAAGCUCCAGACAGAAGGGCUGCAGCAAGCAGGCCUGCAGGGAAAAAAGGAGCCAAGAACCUGCCUGAAGCCUUGGAAGGACAGAGCAGCCGAUCGGGGACACCCCAGGACAGGAGAAAGGAGGAGCACUGUGCCAGGGAUGAAUCACCUGAGAAAGAAAAACCAGAGCUGGACCUAGUAUCACUGCUGUCCAGAGCUGCAGGGGCUGGACACCACUACCACCCAUAAGAGCCCCAUGGAUACUUCAGGGGAGCUGGAGUCACAGGCCUGCAGAGUAAACAGUGGGAGGUGGUGUUGGAUGAGAGAGGAGAAAUAUGGGGGACAAGCAGGGAGACCUAUUUUCUGCGUCGAGAAAGUCCCUACACUCUAGCACAAUUGAGUCUCUGAUGGAAAUGUGGCUGGGAAGGUCUCUCCAUCCAUACCAGCGGAGCAGCUCAGCCAGAUUGGGAGGAAAAGGAAUAGGACAUAGGAUGGCAUGUUCCAAGAGAUCCUGCAGGCCUCCGGUGCUUUGGAUACCAAGCACAGGGGUUGGAGGAUCACCCUCACAGACAGCAUGGACAGGGAUAGAGAGGAGAGGAGAAAAGCACAGGAAAAGGAAAGACAUGUGCAACAGGAGAUGCUAGCACUUCUCAAGCAAGAAACAGACAUGCUGGAGACUCUUGUUGACCUUUAGGUUCAACAGACCCGUGCUUGCCUCCCUCUGCAGCCCAUAGAGAAUUGCAGUCUGGUACCUCCCCACCCCCCAAUCCUCGCAUACACACAUAUUGUCUCCUUGUGAUGUCUGUGGCCACUGCACUACUCCUACCACUCCACCCCAGAGGAGAGCACAGGCAAUCACAACCAUACAUACACCAAUCAUGUC